rnacentral:rRNA from 1 species
AGUGAACGCUGGCGGUAGGCCUAACACAUGCAAGUCGAACGGCAGCACAGUAAGAGCUUGCUCUUACGGGUGGCGAGUGGCGGACGGGUGAGGAAUACAUCGGAAUCUACUUUUUCGUGGGGGAUAACGUAGGGAAACUUACGCUAAUACCGCAUACGACCUACGGGUGAAAGCAGUGGAUCUUCGGACCUUGCGCGAUUGAAUGAGCCGAUGUCGGAUUAGCUAGUUGGCGGGGUAAAGGCCCACCAAGGCGACGAUCCGUAGCUGGUCUGAGAGGAUGAUCGGCCACACUGGAACUGAGACACGGUCCAGACUCCUACGGGAGGCAGCAGUGGGGAAUAUUGGACAAUGGGCGCAAGCCUGAUCCAGCCAUACCGCGUGGGUGAAGAAGGCCUUCGGGUUGUAAAGCCCUUUUGUUGGGAAAGAAAAGCAGCAGGUUAAUACCCCGCUGUUCUGACGGUACCCAAAGAAUAAGCACCGGCUAACUUCGUG